CGGCCGUCUCUUUCCGGCUCUGUUUCCCGCACGGUCCUCACCCCACUGCCGGGAUAGAGAGGAAGGGCGGGCGCGGGUGGGCGGGAAACAGCCCAGCCCCGAACAAAAGGCCGGGGAAGCGUGGCUCCCGCCCGUGAAAUGCAGGCCGGGUCGCGCUGGAUCCUCUGCGCGGGGCGAGCCGCUGGCGGGUGUGGAUCGCACUCCUGGGCCACCAUGGAGACCUCACCCUCGAUUUAGUUGUUACUUAGUAUGGAAGAAGAUGAGUUCUUUGGAGAGGAAACGUUCCAGCAUUAUUGUGCAGAAUUCAUUAAACAUUCACAGAAGAUAGGCGAUGGCUGGGAAUGGAGAACUUCAAAGGACUGUUCUGAUGGCUACAUGUGCAAAACACAGUUUCAAAUUAAAAAUAGGACUGCAGUGUCACAUCGAGGAACAUCUGCCCGUGUACAAACAUGUCUUCCCAUGGAGGAGGCUUUAGAGCCACCCCUGGAUGAUUUUGAGGUGACGGAGACCACCACGGCAACCGAAGUGAUUAAAUAUGAGUAUCAUGUCUUAUAUUCCUGCAGCUACCAAGUGCCUGUGCUUUACUUUAGGGCAAGCUUUUUAGAUGGAAGCCCUUUAGCUCUGAAGGACAUAUGGGAAGGAGUUCAUGAGUGCUAUAAGACUCGGCUGCUGCAUGGACCGUGGGACACUAUUACCCAACAGGAGCAUCCGAUACUUGGACAACCCUUUUUUGUACUUCAUCCCUGCAAGACGAAUGAAUUCAUGACUCCUGUGUUAAAAAAUUCUCAGAAAUUCAAUAGGAAUGUCAACUACAUCACGUCAUGGCUGAGCAUGGUAGGGCCAGCUGUCGGGCUGAAUCUGCCUCUGAGUUACGCCAGAGCAGCCUUUCAGGAUGAAGGAAAUGUCGACAGACAAGAUUCAUCUAUUGAGCCAAAGAGCUUAGAAGAACUCUGAGAGUUUAUGUGGCCGGCCCUGGUUUUAACGGGACCAAUAUGGUGUGAGAUUUCAGAUCACCGAGAUUUUGACGUGGAUUUUUUUUCCCUUGGAAGCAAAUGUCUGCAGCAACUGAUGUACUCUAUGUUUAGAAGAAACACUGCAAAGACACAAAUCACUAUAAAUAGCAAAAAAGGAAUCUAACUCGGUAAUAGAAAUACUGACAUCAUCAGGGCACUUCCAGGUCGUUCUCUCAUGUCUCUGAGACUCAUUCUCUUCAUCUUUAAUUUGAGAAUAACAAGCUACCUCACAGGGUUGCUGUGUGAAGCACAUGAGAGCCUUAGUGUAUGAGAAAAUAUGCCAAUACAAGGCAAAGCCCCUUCAGUGAGGAACAAGACUGGUUAAAGCUGCUACAAGUCCGUCUCCUAAACUCUACAGUUGUGUGAUCUUCGAAAAGCUGUUUCACCUCCUUGGUCCUCAGAGUCUUCACCUGCACCAUGAGGAAGCUCAGCCAUGUGACUUGUGAGGCCCACCCGACGCUUGGGUCUAUGAAAUUGGGAGAGGUCUAGGGAGCUGGACUGUGAGGUUGGUUUGCUACUAGCUGCGUGGCUUGAGCUAAUUUUCUUAAUCUCCUUUAGUCUGUUACCACUUCUGUUUUAAAAAGUCCAUUACUAUCAAUCCCACUCACCUAACAAGGGCACAGAGAUCGAAAUGGUGAGUGAGUCUGAAUGCGCUGCCUAACUUACACAGUGCUGCGUGGAGUCAGUGGAAGAGGGUAAUCGGCCCUGCUCCCGUCGAGGCACAUGCCUGCUCCUUCCCACCUCAGUUCGGGCCUGACUUCUCCCCAGGCGAAUGGGCUCCUGGUCGGGCGCCUUCUCUGCCCACAGCCUGACUGUUGUGCACGCUGGUUCUCACCUGGAAGUGUUUCCCUCCCCAUCUCUCUGCCCCAUUCUCAACCUGCUCUAUGUGAUCCACUCUUUACAAAGCCGUCUCUGAGCACCACAGCCCCCCGUGGUGGACCUCUCCCUUUGUUAUCCCUGUACUUAUUCAUAGAAGCAUUUAACUGUCUCCUUUUCACUCUGAUUUGAUGGAUAGUAAGUAACUUACUGAGCCACUUUUUUGGGUAUGUUGUAAGGUGGCAUUCAGGAAGAGUUGCUGUCUGCCCCCCGUAAGUGAUCCAGGGAAAGCUCUCAGUCUGAGAACCCGAGUGGGUGGGCUAGUUCUUUGAGUAACCAUGGAAGGGUCAGAGGCUGUGCUGAUCAUCAGGUACUAGCCUACAAGCUGGAGGUUAAAAAAAUGAAACUACCACCCCCCACCCAAUACGUAUAAGAUAAGGAGGAAAAAAAAGUCAGAAGUGGGUUUUUGCAUCCAUUUUUCCCAAGAUGAUAGGUAUAGGUUUUCUUAAUACUCUCAAGAUAUUAGGAAACGGAGAUCUGCAUUGUCAAAACUAGUUCUUCACAUAUAUAUGGAAUCUAAAAAAAAAAAAAGUUCUGAAGAACCUAGGGGCAGGAGAGGAAUAAAGACGAAGAUGUAGAGAAUGGAGUUGAGGGCACGGGGAGGGGGAAGGGUAAGCUGGGACGAAGUGAGAGAGUGGCAUGGACAUAUAUACGCUACCAAAUGUAAACUAGAUAGCUAGUGGGAAGCAGCUGCAUAGCACAGGGAGGUCAGCUCGGUGCUUUGUGACCACCUA